UACGUAGGGUGCGAGCGUUAAUCGGAAUUACUGGGCGUAAAGCGUGCGCAGGCGGUUCGUUGUGUCGGCGGUGAAAGCCCCGGGCUCAACCUGGGAAUGGCCGUUGAAACUGGCGAACUGGAGUGUGGCGGAGGGGGGUGGAAUUCCGCGUGUAGCAGUGAAAUGCGUAGAGAUGCGGAGGAACACCGAUGGCGAAGGCAGCCCCCUGGGCUGACACUGACGCUCAGGCACGAAAGCGUGGGGAGCAAACAGG
rnacentral:rRNA from 1 species